UCCCUGGUGGCUCAGAUGGUAAAGCAUCUGCCCGCAAUGCAGGAGGCCCAGGUUCGAUCCCUGGGUUGGGAA
rfam:Ovis aries breed Texel chromosome 14, whole genome shotgun sequence.